rnacentral:rRNA from 1 species
AUUGAACGCUGGCGGCAUGCCUUACACAUGCAAGUCGAACGGUAACAGGUCUUCGGAUGCUGACGAGUGGCGAACGGGUGAGUAAUACAUCGGGACGUGCCUAGUAGUGGGGGAUAACUACUCGAAAGAGUGGCUAAUAUCGCAUGAGAUCUACGGAUGAAAGCAGGGGAUCGCAAGAACUUGUGCUACCAGAGCGGCCGAUGGCAGAUUAGGUAGUUGGUGGGAUAAAAGCUUACCAAGCCGACGAUCUGUAGCGGUUCUGAGAGGACGAUCAGCCACACUGGGACUGAGACACGGCCCAGACUCCUACGGGAGGCAGCAGUGGGGAAUUUUGGACAAUGGGCGAAAGCCUGAUCCAGCAAUGCCGCGUGCAGGAUGAAGGCCUUCGGGUUGUAAACUGCUUUUGUACGGAACGAAAAGCUCUGGGUUAAUACCCUGGGGUCAUGACGGUACCGUAAGAAUAAGCACCGGCUAACUACGUGCCAGCCGCCGCGGUAAUAC